GACGGGGCCGGAGGCGCCUGCGCUGUGGGUCCUGGUCGGCUUCGGGUUCGGUGGACGCUGUGCCCCCGGAUCUCACGUUGACCCCGGAACUGCUCGCUCUGGCACCUGGUCGCCCGGCCUCGGGUGGCGCCAUGUCCUAGUGCCCCCUUCCACUUUCUGUUUUUUGAACGGCUGGGUGGCGUGCAGGCCUUAUGGUGGCGCGGCCCGGAAGUGGCCCAUCAACUGCGACUUGUUGCGGCUCUUUUUUGUUUUAAAGCUCUAGUUUAUUUAGCACCGAUCUCGGGCUUUAGGUACUGUUUCAGGCCCUGAAGAGUGGCAGUGGAGAUGAAUGUUCUCUUGUUUGCAUCGGUCAAGGUUAGGCACUGAGAAGACACCUGGAUAGUUGAAGGGGCUGGGCAAUUACCUAUGCGAAUUCAAGACACCAUUCUUUACCUAGUCCCUGAAGAUACUUGAAGGUUAGAGGAAAUGCCCAUGGGAAUAUCACAAAAUCCCAUGCUGCAAAGCUGCUGCCACUUCAUGGGGUGAGGGCAGGUCCUCACCUAGGACUCUCCCUGUUCCUGCUUCCCGACCCACGCACACACCAGGCGCGCGGAAAGGCCCAGGAAGGGGAAGGAGGAGCCGCUGCGCGCGGAGGGUGCUAUGGCA